GGCCUCGUAGCCCAGCUGGUAGAGUGUGCGCUGUACAAAAGCGUAGGCGGCGUCCAUGCGUGGGUUAAAAUCCUACUGAAGCUA
rnacentral:tRNA from 1 species